rnacentral:rRNA from 1 species
UUAUACAGCGAAACUGCGAAUGGCUCAUUAUAUAAGUUAUCGUUUAUUUGAUAGUACCUACUACUUGGAUAACCGUGGUAAUUCUAGAGCUAAUACAUGCUAAAAACCCCGACGGAAGGGGUGUAUUUAUUAGAUUAAAAACCAAUGCCCUUCGGGGCUCCUUGGUGAUUCAUGAUAACUUCUCGAAUCGCACGGCCUUGCGCCGGCGAUGGUUCAUUCAAAUUUCUUCCCUAUCAACUUUCGAUGUUUGGGUAUUGGCCAAACAUGGUUGCAACGGGUAACGGAGGGUUAGGGCUCGACCCCGGAGAAGGAGCCUGAGAAACGGCUACUACAUCCAAGGAAGGCAGCAGGCGCGCAAAUUACCCAAUCCCGACACGGGGAGGUAGUGACAAUAAAUACUGAUACAGGGCUCUUUUGGGUCUUGUAAUUGGAAUGAGUACAAUCUAAAUCCCUUAACGAGGAACAAUUGGAGGGCAAGUCUGGUCCAGCAGCCGCGGUAAUUCCAGCUCCAAUAGCGUAUAUUAAAGUUGUUGUGGUUAAAAAGCUCGUAGUUGAACCUUGGGCCUGGCUGGCCGGUCCGCCUCACCGCGUGCACUGGUCCGGCCGGGCCUUCCCUCUGUGGAACCCCAUGCCCUUCACUGGGCGUGGGGGGAACAGGACUUUUACUUUGAAAAAAUUAGAGUGCUCCAGGCAGGCUAUGCUCGAAUACAUUAGCAUGGAAUAAUGAAAUAGGACGUGUGGUUCUAUUUUGUUGGUUUCUAGGACCGCCGUAAUGAUUAAUAGGGACAGUCGGGGGCAUCAGUAUUCAAUUGUCAGAGGUGAAAUUCUUGGAUUUAUUGAAGACUAACUACUGCGAAAGCAUUUGCCAAGGAUGUUUUCAUUAAUCAGGAACGAAAGUUAGGGGAUCGAAGACGAUCAGAUACCGUCGUAGUCUUAACCAUAAACUAUGCCGACUAGGGAUCGGACGAUGUUACUUAUGACUCGUUCGGC